ACUUCCGGGGGGCGGCGCGAACGGCAAUGGCGGUCUUCUCCCGAUGGGAGAAGAAGCUCCGCUGAAAUCGGGUCGUCCGCUACGGCGAAGCGGAGACCCAACGAGAAAAACCCCAGGCAGCAAGAGCCUGGGGUCCUGAGGCUCGGCGGGCGCCAAGAGCAGCCCUCCAACUGCAGAAGGAGCCUCGUAAGGGGCUCCGGAGCGUGGAGGGGGGUUGCGGCGCUGUGAGCCGUUUCACAGUCAGCGGAGUGAAGCCGCGCUGCUGCUGCCGGUGAGCGCUGAUCCCUUUUCCUGUUAAAAUUCGGACCUGGAAGAAAACAACUUACUCGUGAGUAAAGACUGAAUCACUUGGAAUUACAAAUUUUAAAUGAGAAGGUUUAAUUUGGCUUGAAUUUGGCUGAAAGCGGAGAGACGUGGAAACAGGAAGUCCGUCUUCCGCUGCCAUUGAACUUGGAAAAAAAGCAACUAAGGCGGAGGAGUGGAGGCUGAAAGAAAGAGACUUUAAACUCUACACAGCCAAGCAUCUAUGGAACUUACAAUUUAAAGUAAAACUAGUAAGUUAAAGAUUUGGAUCUUUUAUUUGUACUUGACUUUCCCCCUUUUAUUGGAUUACAAAUUGGAAGGUGAAACCCAGAGUCAGGAUUGCUUGAGCACUGUAAGAGCGAGCUGUCAGUGUUGAUUUGGAUACUGUAUAUUAGAAGUUGCAACAAUCUGAGGGUAUUGAGACCUUUUAAAUUUGAAACAUUCUUUUUGGAGACAAAUAAGCACUGUCUGCAACAAAGUGAUUACUUUUAAACUCUGCUUAAUACUUAUAUUGGAAGGUUCUGGGACAUUAAAUCAGACUCUGAAAGACAUCUUAAGCUCCCUCUAGAGGAUUGGAUUAAAACAGUGACUUUACAAAUACAUUUACUUUCGAUUCCCUUGUUGUUUGCUUGCUCUGGGCCUUUCUAUUCCUGUGGGAAAAACUCAGUGUGACCUUGACUGAUAGAUAACAUUGGAAUGAGUGGUACAAGAAGAAGAGGAAGAGUUAGACAAACAACUCUAACAACUCUAACCUCAGCCUCGCAGACACGUAGAUCAUCUGUGCCUACUUUGCCCUCAGAAGUACAACUUGAAGAAGCUGACUUGCCACAGGCAAAAGAGGGAGAGGGUGAAGCAGAGCAGCUACAAUUGGAAGAUAUGGCCUCAGGAUCAUCUGUUUCUGUGCUAGAAAAAUCUUUGAAAAAUUGGAAGCUUUGGACAAGAAAGUAGAUGCGCAAUCAGCAAAGAUUGAUAAAAAUACAGACUGUCUAAACAAAUUAACUACACAGGUGGGACAGAAUACACAAGCAAUUGGACAGUUGACGGAGGCCUCAGUAGAAAACCGAAAAUUGGCUGAGGAUACCAGACAAAAAUUGGAAAAUUUAGAGCAAGAGGUAAGACCACUCACUAAACAAGUUGGGGAACAUCAGACUUAUCUUUCUAUGAUAGAACUGCGAAAUCGUGAGAAUAAUUUGAGGAUUAGAUCAUUACAAGAGGCAGAAGAAGGAAAUCUAACUGAGUUUUUGACCAAAGAACUUUCCAAGUUCUGGAAUUUGGAAGAAAAGGACUUUAAAAUUGUGUCAGCUUUCAGACUUGGAAGAUUUAUAAAGAAGGAGAGGCCCAGGGAUUGUUUGAUUACAUUGAGAUCGAAGGAGGAAAGGGAUAAGAUUUUGGGUCUACAUUACGAAAAGUCACUGGAGGUUUUGGAUAGAAGAAUUGAGAUAUAUAAAGAUAUCCCAAGACAACUGUUGGACCUUAGAGCCGCCUACUCUGAACUUGCUAAACUACUAAGGAGCAACGCAAUUCCAUUCAGGUGGGAAUUUCCCCAAGGAUUAUCUUUUACCUUUAGAGCGAGAAAGGUCAAAAUUAGAACAUUGGAAGAGAGAGAUAAAUUUCUGGCUACAUACGGAGAGGACCUACAUAAAGGAAUUGAACUACCUUCCGGGCCUGGGGCAAAGCCAGCGUCAAUACCUCCACCUGGGGAGCUUGAAGACCCAGAGAAGACACCACCCCGGGAGAAAUAACCAGACAGAUCCAGGAUGUCUCUGCAACUGUUGAGCUGGAACAUUAAUGGUUGCAAUAUUCCGGAGAAAAGGAAGAAAAUAUUUCAUAUAUUAAAAAAGAACAAUUGGACAUUAUUUGUUUACAAGAAACACAUGUGACGAGGCUCCACAGAAAAGUGUUAAUAAAUAAAAGAUUGGGCCAGGAAUUUAUUUCGUCGGACAAAGUGAAGAAGAGAGGAGUGGUGAUAUAUGCAAAAGAGAGCCUGUCACCUAAAUUUCUAUUUAAAGAUGAACAUGGAAGGAUUUUGGCUAUUGAGAUACAAUAUCAAGGAGAGAAACUGCUGAUAUUAGGAAUCUAUGCGCCCAAUGAAGGGAAAUCGGAAUUUUACAAGAAGUUGCAGGGGACAAUGCUGGAUCAUCUGGAUUACAACAACAUCAUAAUGAUGGGAGACAUGAACGGGGUCGUGUCAACUAACAUGGACAAGUCGCAAAGUCAAAAUGUCACAAAAGAUGGCAGACUACCUAAAACCUUUUUGAAAUGACUGACAAUAUGGACUUGAUUGACAUUUGGAGAACAAAGAACCCACUAGGUAGAGAAGGAACAUUCUUUUCUGAAGCCCAACUGACCUGGACAAGAAUCGACCAAAUAUGGAUCUCUAGAGGCCUGGCACCUAGGGUUAGAAAAGUGGAAAUCUGCCCAAAGACCUGCUCUGACCACAACGCAGUAAAGAUGGAUAUGACACUACUACCAACUGGAUCCUUUAGAUGGAAGAUGAAUGACAAUUUGUUUAGAGAUCAGGAAAUUACCAAGAAGGCCCAAAAAGUUUUGAAAGACUAUUUCGAGAUAAACAUGAACAAUUCGGUGGAAAAAGAAUCGUCUGGGACGCAAGCAAAGCUGUCAUGAGGGGAUUCCUGAUACAACAGAAUGUAGU